GACGAAGGAUGCAAGCGUUAUCCGGAUUCAUUGGGUUUAAAGGGAGCGUAGGUGGCCUUAUAAGUCAGUGGUGAAAUCUCUCGGCUUAACCGAGAAAAUUGCCAUUGAUACUGUAGGGCUUGAGUACAGUUGCUGUGGGCGGAAUAUGACAUGUAGUGGUGAAAUACAUAGAGAUGUCAUAGAACACCGAUUGCGAAGGCAGCUCACAAAACUGUAACUGACACUGAGGCUCGAAAGUGCGGGGAUCAAACAGG
rnacentral:rRNA from 1 species